rnacentral:rRNA from 1 species
CGGUAGGUAACCUGCCUGGUAGGGGGGGAUAACUAUUGGAAACGAUAGCUAAUACCGCAUAAGAGUAGAUGUUGCAUGACAUUUACUUAAAAGGUGCAAUUGCAUCACUACCAGAUGGACCUGCGUUGUAUUAGCUAGUUGGUGAGGUAACGGCUCACCAAGGCAACGAUACAUAGCCGACCUGAGAGGGUGAUCGGCCACACUGGGACUGAGACACGGCCCAG